rnacentral:rRNA from 1 species
GAUAAGGGGACACCGAGUGCCAGCAUCAUAUGCUGGCUGUCCAGAUGUGUAAAAUACAUCUGUUAGCAAGGGCCGGGCAAGACCGGUGCCAGCCGCCGCGGUAACACCGGCGGCCCGAGUGGUGAUCGUGAUUAUUGGGUCUAAAGGGUCCGUAGCCGGUUUGGUCAGUCCUCCGGGAAAUCUGAUAGCUCAACUAUUAGGCUUUCGGGGGAUACUGCCAGACUUGGAACCGGGAGAGGUAAGAGGUACUACAGGGGUAGGAGUGAAAUCUUGUAAUCCCUGUGGGACCACCUGUGGCGAAGGCGUCUUACCAGAACGGGUUCGACGGUGAGGGACGAAAGCUGGGGGCACGAACCGGAUUAGAUACCCGGGUAGUCCCAGCCGUAAACGAUGCUCGCUAGGUGUCAGACAUGGCGCGACCGUGUCUGGUGCCGCAGGGAAGCCGUGAAGCGAGCCACCUGGGAAGUACGGCCGCAAGGCUGAAACUUAAAGGAAUUGGCGGGGGAGCACAACAACGGGUGGAGCCUGCGGUUU